AGCUUUGCAGCAUGGCAGUAUCAUAGCCAACGAGGUUUAACGGAGGCACAAUUAUUGCUAAUUGAAAACUUUUCUAUAGAUUAUCAUUACUUCAUAUCUUUGAUUUGGAUUGUUUUUAUUCAUUCAGCAACUUGCU